GGGUCAGGAGGUUGGUCGUGCCACCGGUACGUACUGGUCUCACUGAUUCCUCCUUCCUGAAGAACCGUAAUGCCAUUAAUUUGGUGUUGCGGGGAAACCGGACUGUUACUUUGAAAAAAUUAGAGUGUUUAAAGCAAGCUAACGCUUGAAUACAUUAGCAUGGAAUAAUGAAAUAGGACGAUCGAUCCUAUUUUGUUGGUUUCUAGGAUUGACGUA
rnacentral:rRNA from 1 species